GAUGGGAGGGAGCCGAACACCCCAAGGAGCCGCCGCCGCCGCCGUCGCCCGGGAGACCGUACUGCGCUUGCGUGUGUCCCAAACGUUUGUCAAGAAGCGCCUCCGAGUUUGAGGACGAGCCCUAAAUGGAGUCCGACCGGGCCGCAAGACAAGACCCCGACCCUGGGCAACUGAAGAGCUCGCCGGAGGGCUUCCGCAGGCCGAGGGCGGGUCGCGGAUUACCGCCUCCAGAUGCCGCCUUCUCGCCUCUGCCCUGGGCUGUGGACUCCGCUCUGCGACCCGCGACUCUGCGCGCCAGACCCAUUGCUGUCGGGGCGCCCGCCCUUGGUGCCCACCCUUUCUGGGGUUCAUAGUUUAUACCCAGAUCCCACUACUGUUUUCGUUGAGUGCCAGUAGGCUCCCAUUUAGUGAGCAGUGGGUUUGUGUCAGCCAGUAUACUAAGGCGUUUACACAUCGCCGUCUUUAAAAACCUUGCAACUUUGGAAAUAGGGUUUAACAUCUCUUUUAUAGGUGGGUACAGCUGGGCAAACUAAACGACAGAACUGACGCAUCCAAGCUUACCAGGCCUCAGGUGGAGCACUUCUGUUCUGCCUCAAUAAGUUGUUUCAUCUCAUUAUUAUAAAAAAUUUCAAGCAGUACCCCCAAUAAAAUGGUAAUACACUGUAAUAUACUCCUCA